rnacentral:rRNA from 1 species
GCAUGAGGCUUGAUGCAAAGUUUUUCGGCCUGAGAUGUUCUCGCGGCCUAUCAGCUUGUUGGUGGGGUGAUGGCCUACCAAGGCGACGACGGGUAGCCGGCCUGAGAGGGCGACCGGCCACACUGGGACUGAGACACGGCCCAGACUCCUACGGGAGGCAGCAGUGGGGAAUAUUGCACAAUGGGCGGAAGCCUGAUGCAGCGACGCCGCGUGAGGGAUGACGGCCUUCGGGUUGUAAACCUCUUUCAGCAGGGACGAAGCGCAAGUGACGGUACCUGCAGAAAAAGCACCGGCCAACUACGUGCCAGCAGCCGCGGUAAGACGUAGGGUGCGAGCGUUGUCCGGAUUUAUUGGGCGAAAAGAGCUCGUAGGCGGCUUGUCGCGUCGACUGUGAAAAACCCGCGGCUCAACCGCGGGCCUGCAGUCGAUACGGGCAGGCUAGAGUUCGGGUAGGGGAGACUGGAAUUCCCGGGUGUAGCGGUGAAAUGCGCAGAUAUCAGGAGGAACACCGGUGGCAAAGGCGGGUCUCUGGGCCGAUACUGACGCUGAGGAGCGAAAGCGUGGGAGCGAACAGAAUAGAUAUACCCUGGUAAUCCACGCUUGAAACGUUGGGGCGCUAGUUGUGGGGGCCUCUCCGGCUCUCUGGGCCGCAGCUAACGCAUUAAGCGCCCCGCCUGGGGAGUACGCCGCAAGGCUUAAACACUCAAAGAAUUGACGGGGGCUCGAACAUGCGGCGGAGCAUGCGGAUUAAUUCGAAGCGACGCGAAAACCUUUACCUGGUUUUGACAUGGCCGAAAACCUCCAAGAGAUGGGGGGUCCUUUCGGGGCCGUCCACAGUGGUGACUGGAUGUCGUCCGCUCCUGUCGUGAGAUGUUGGGUUAAGUCCCGCAACGAGCGCAACCCUCGUUCGAUGUUGCCAGCGCGUUAUGGCGGGGACUCAUCGAAGACUGCCGGGGUCAACUC